UUGUACCCUUCAUUCAAAAAUUGCUAAUUCGUGGCGUGGGUGAUUUUCUCUCUCCAUCUCUUUCUUGAUUUCCAUUUUUGGGUUGCAUUCAUUUGCAGUUGUAUUGUAUUUCUGCAACAAGGUAUAGUCAGUGAGAGAGAGAGGAUUUAGUAAGUGAAAUGGCCAACAUAUAAAUUGAGGGAAUAUUGAAGGAACUCCCGAAUGAUGGCCAAGACGAAGAUCGUGCCCAACUUCUCGAAGUGUGCCCAUGCUCGAGAAGCUUCUAAAGGCAGGGAUGAAUGUUGCCAAGUUCAACUUCUCCCGUGGUACCCAUGAAUACCAACCAUCAGGAAACCUUGAACAAUCUCAAGAUUGCCAUGCACCACACCCAGAUCUUGUUGCUAUCAUGCUUGAUACCAAGCUUAAAGCAGCUUUUGGCAUAAAUUAAGCUAUGUUUGUGUGUUUGGUACACUUCUCCUCUCAAAUGGCGCUCUCUUCUUCUCCUUUCCUCUCCUCUUGCUGCCGAACAACGAAGAAUUGCUUCACACAUCAAAGCUCGCCGGCGAUCAUCCCUGUUUUUUGUUGAUCUCCACCAAAAAGUAAGAUUUGAAACCCUAAACCCUAUGUUUUGUUAUAUAUAGAUAUACAUAUUAGAUAUACACAUCGAUUUAGGGUUUUUUUUGAGUUUUGGUUGCUCUGUGUUCAAAUUCGAUUAGGGUUCUUGUUUGCGUUUGUUUUUGGUUUCUGGUUGCUCUCUCUCUCUCUCUCUCAUCGAUUUUGGUUUCUGCUUCAUGUAGGGUACCCCUCUUUCUGGUUCAUGAAGGCAAUACAUCGAUUUUGGUUUUUGGUUUCUGGUUUCUUGUUCAUGUAGUCUCACAUAUGUUUUAUAUUUAUCUGCAUAAUUUUCUUUUUUAUAAUUUGGAUUUUACCCAUAUCUAAUAAACGUUUUGCUAUGUUUGCUAUUAUGGGUUCUCUGAUCUUCUCGUGCAUAUAUUUGGGUUUUGAUCAUCUGGGUCUCUUGCUUUUUUAUCAAAUUUUAGACCAUGUUUAGUGUUUGCACUAAUUUUGAUAUUUAGGUUAUUUAAGAUUUUUGUAAUUAUGGUUUACCUUAGACAUGUUUAUUGGAUUUGAUCUCAUCUAUAUGCUCAUGUGGUUACCUAAUCCUACUUAUUAAUUAUUAUCCAUAGUUCAUGUAGUUUUCUAUGUUUUUGCAAUCCCCUUAUUAUCUGCCACUAAAGCACAUCAACAUCCUUAAUCUAGUUAAACUUGCAUUCUACCAAUAGGAAAUCAAAUCUGCCCUCAACAUCCUUUAUCUUUGGCAUUUUUACCCUGUCAAAAACAGAAAGGAAGUUCAAAAUAUAUGAGAGGCAUUGGAUUAUCUCAAACUUCUUAAUGCUUAGGUUUGAAUCUAAAUCUUUGAUGCUUACGUCUUUAUGUUCUUCAUGGUUUUGUUGAUAAGGAUCUUCUAGAAUUUGAACCCAGCUUGUGAGGUGGAUAUCAUGAUUCAUUCUUAAAUAGAUGCUACAGUUGUAGAACAGUUUUGGUUUAAUGUUCCUAAACUGUUUUAUUUUUUUUAAUAUUAUAUUUUAUUUUAAUUUUACCUUUCUCCUUAAGACAUGAACAAAUAAUUUCAUAAAUGUUUGAAAAUCUUGUCUGGGUUGACAAUUCACCCAAGCCAAUUUACCAUCCAAGCCAGCAGUGUAGUUCUGCAUCAUUAAUGAAAAUCUUGUCUGGGCUUUAGGAGAAUAGGGAAGAAAUGUUUGAAAAUCUUUUCAUAGAUGUUUACCUUUCUCCUUAAUUUUACCUUUCUCCUUAAGAAACGCCUUUAUCUUUUCGUAAAUGUUUGAAAAUCUUGUCUGGGUUUGUGAAGGCCUUGUGCGUAUAAUUUUUGUCACCACAAAAAAGUAUAACUUUUACUUUAGGAGAAUAGGGAAGAAAAAGUUUUGUAAAGCACAUUAGGAAGCCUUAAAUUCAAGCAUGCCACUAGACUAGACCAAUCCCUUCAUCUUUAGUUUUAGUUCAAAAAAUAUAUAAGUUUCCUAUAUGAAAAAGAUUUCAAAUGAAAAAAUAUAAAAACAAAAUAACAUAUGUCUUUAAAAUUGAAGAACCAACAGGUCUUUAAAAUUAAAGAACCAAUUGGAAUAAUUUUGUACCUUCUUUUGGGAGAAUACUCUUGAACGUCAAGGAGCAACACCUUUUGCCAUCUUUCUUUGAUGACUGUUCUUGGUAGUGUUCUAUGUCAUGUUCUAUGUUUAGCACUGAAUUUAAUCUUUCAACUUUAUUAGUUGAUAAAUCUUUUAACUUUAUUAGUUGAUAAUUUUAUUACAUAAUUACAAAUAAUUCUCCCAUUUGAAAUGAGAUCAGUGCACUUCAAAUUUUUCUAGGAACAAAUGGGUGCAAACAAAUUGUCAUUAUGUUAGAAACAUUUUAUUCAAUCAAUACUUCGUGGGUGCAAUGUAUUUACAAUUAGCUUUCCAAUAAGGAUUUGGAUUCAAUUGUUCCUAAUUAAUGCUGAGGCAUGUCAUCCUCUAGUAACUAUUAUUCUAGUGGUGAGAGCUUCGACUUAAGGUAUGAGGCUUUGAAAUGUGAUUGUGGGCUAAGAGCUGCCAUAAGGGUUACCGAGUCUGACAAGCCAUCUAAAGGGAGACUGUAUUUCAUUUGUGAGAAAAGAAAUUGUCAAUUUUGGAAGUGGUGUACCCCAAAAUCUGUAACGAUGGUAGAGAGGCUAAAGAACGAGAGAAUGCUUGAUCCAAAUCAAAAUAUGGAGACUGUAGGACUAAAAGUGAAGAACCAAAUGCUUGAGCAAUCCAAUACUUUCAUGAAGCAGCUUGUUGUGGGUCUGCUCACGAUUUGUAUUAUUAUGUCAAUUGCAUUACUCUUCAAAUGAUGAUAGGUGCCGUUUAGAGAUACCCGGUGUUUUUGUGCUAAUGUAGUUUACCAUGAACUAUACUAAGCUUUGUACCCAAUGAAUGUUGACGUAUUUGCCAUGUAUGGUUCUUUUGUACUAAUCUAGCUGUUGUAAUGCAAGCACCGAUGAAUGAGUUUGUUUUAAAAAUUUUUUGUCUUUCAUAGAAUGAGUACCCAAGAGGAAACACAAUCUGAAAAUAGGAAGAACAAGGGAAAAUCAAGUCAAGUACCAUCCGUUAAAGCUCAUUGGGAUGCAAAAUCAAAUGAAAUUUUUAUUAAGCUUUGUGUUGGGCAAGUGAAGGUUGGACGUAGACCUGGUACACACUUAGAUAGGGUCAAGUGGGAAAAUGUGAUAACUAAGUUUAAAAGUAUGACUGGAAAAGCAUACCAACGAAUACAAAUAAAAAUCAUUGGGAUGUGUUGAAAAAAUAUUGGCUUUUAAGGAAUAAUAUGUUAAGGGGUGAGACAGGCUUAGGUCGGGAUACAUUGACUGGAGCUAUAUCUGCAUCUGAUGAGUGGUGGACCAAGAAAUUGGAGAGGUAUCCUAAUGCUGCUAAAUUCCAACGUAUACCGUUGCAAUUCACUGAAGACUUAGACAUACUAUUCUCAGAUGCAGCAGCUAUAGAAGAAUGGACAUACACUCCUAGCUCAGGGUAAUGCCUCACACUAAUGAGACUCCGGAGGAAUUUCAUACUCCACAUGAUGCUAAAUUUCAUGAUGAUGCUGAUUUGGAAGUGGUUCAUCCUUCCGAAUUAAACAAAAAAUGGUCAUCAAACAUUGGUGGUUCAUCAACCAAGAGCAAGACAAAGAAGAAAUUUACUAGUGCCGCUCUACUGAACAAGACACCUGAUCGUAUAGUCAAUGUGGUUGAGUCAUCUUCAGCAACUUCAACACAGACCUCAUCAAGAUAUCAUUCAAUUGCAGAAUGUUUGGCGAUGUUGGAAAGCAUCCCUGGUGUGUCCCCGAAUGAUGAGCUGUAUGUAUGGGCUGCUAGAUUGUUCUUACAAGACAAGCGUCGUGAGUUCUUCAUGAGUCUUCCUAUGGAUGAAGUUCGGUUGAGGUUUCUAAAGUUGGAGAUUAAGAUGGAGAAGACCACCACAUGUUAUCACGGCUAAUUGUUUUUUAGAUGGACUGUUGUGUUAAACUCGU